rnacentral:rRNA from 1 species
GAUGAACGCCGGCGGCGUGCCUAAUACAUGCAAGUAGAACGCUGAAGCUUGGUGCUUGCACCGAGCGGAUGAGUUGCGAACGGGUGAGUAACGCGUAGGUAACCUGCCUCUUAGCGGGGGAUAACUAUUGGAAACGAUAGCUAAUACCGCAUAAAAGUCGAUAUCGCAUGAUAUUGAUUUGAAAGGUGCAAAUGCAUCACUAAGAGAUGGACCUGCGUUGUAUUAGCUAGUUGGUGAGGUAACGGCUCACCAAGGCGACGAUACAUAGCCGACCUGAGAGGGUGAUCGGCCACACUGGGACUGAGACACGGCCCAGACUCCUACGGGAGGCAGCAGUAGGGAAUCUUCGGCAAUGGGGGCAACCCUGACCGAGCAACGCCGCGUGAGUGAAGAAGGUUUUCGGAUCGUAAAGCUCUGUUGUAAGAGAAGAACGAGUGUGAGAGUGGAAAGUUCACACUGUGACGGUAACUUACCAGAAAGGGACGGCUAACUACGUG